UACAGAGGGUGCGAGCGUUAAACGGAAUUACUGGGCGUAAAGCGCACGUAGGCGGCUUGGUAUGUCGGGUGUGAAAUCCCCGGGCUCAACCUGGGAACUGCAUCCGAAACUGCCUUGCUAGAGUAUGGGAGAGGGAAGUGGAAUUUCCGGUGUAGCGGUGAAAUGCGUAGAUAUCGGAAGGAACAUCAGUGGCGAAGGCGGCCAACUGGACGAAUACUGACGCUGAGACUCGAAAGCGUGGGGAGCAAACAGG
rnacentral:rRNA from 1 species